rnacentral:rRNA from 1 species
UACGGAAGGCAGCAGUGGGGAAUAUUGCACAAUGGGCGAAAGCCUGAUGCAGCUAUGCCGCGUGUAUGAAGAAGGCCUUAGGGUUGUAAAGUACUUUCAUCGGGGAGGAAAAAACAAAACUAAUAAUUUUAUUUCUUGACGUUACCCGAAAAAGAAGCACCGGCUAACUCCGUGCCAGCAGCCGCGGUAAUACGGAGGGUGCUAGCGUUAAUCAGAAUUACUGGGCGUAAAGAGCACGUAGGUGGUUUUUUAAGUCAGAUGUGAAAUCCCUGGGCUUAACCUAGGAACUGCAUUUUGAAACUGAAAUACUAGAGUAUCGUAGAGGGAGGUAGAAUUCUAGGUGUAGCGGUGAAAUGCGUAGAUAUCUGGAGGAAUACCUGUGGCGAAAGCGGCCUCCUAAACGAAUACUGACACUGAGGUGCGAAAGCGUGGGGAGCAAACAGGGAUUAGGAUACC